CCCACAUUUGGGGUCCUAUCCAUCCCAUUUGGGGUCCCAUCAGUCCCACAUUUGGGGUCCCAUCGGUCCCAUUUGGGGUCUAUCCCGCCCCAUCCCACAGUGACCCCAAUGCUCCACUUAUGGGGUCCCACCCAUCCCACGUUUGUGGUCCAUCCUGUCCCAUCCCAUAGUGACCCAAUGCCCCACUUAUGGGGUCCCACCCAUCCCACAUUUGGGGUCCCAUCAGUCCCACCUUUGGGGACCCCAAAUGUCCCAUCCCAUAGUGACACACUGUCCCACUUUGGGCUCCCAUCCAUCCCACAUCUGGGCUCCCAUCCAUCCCACUUUUGGGGUCCCAUCAGUCCCACUUUUGGGGUCCAUCCCGUCCCACCCCAUAGUGACCCAAUGCCCCACAUUUGGGGUCCCCCCCAUCCCACAUUUGGGGCCCCAAAUGUCCCAUCCCAUAGUGACCCCAAUGCCCCACAUUUGGGGUCCCAUCGGUCCCAUUUGGGAUCCUACUUUUGGGGACCCCAAAUAUCCCAUCCCAUAGUGACCAAAUUUCCCACUUUUGGGCUCCCAUCCAUCCCACUUUUGGGGUCCGUCCUGUCCCAUCCCACAGUGACCCCAAUGCCCCACAUUUGGGGUCCUAUCCAUCCCACAUUUGGGGUCCCAUCGAUCCCACAUUUGGGGUCCAUCCUGCCCCAUCCCAUAAUGACCCCAAUGUCCCACUUUUGGGGUCCCAUCCAUCCCACUUUUGGGGUCCCAUCCAUCCCACAUUUGGGGUCCCAUCAGUCCCACUUUUGGGGUCCAUCCUGUCCCAUCCCAUAGUGACCCAAUGCCCCACAUUUGGGGUCCCCCCCAUCCCACAUUUGGGGUCCCAUCGGUCCCAUUUGGGAUCCUACUUUUGGGGACCCCAAAUAUCCCAUCCCACAGUGACCCCAAUGUCCCACUUUUGGGGUCCUAUCCAUCCCACAUUUGGGGUCCCAUCCAUCCCACAUUUGGGGUCCAUCCUGCCCCAUCCCAUAGUGACCCCAAUGCCCCACAUUUGGGCUCCCAUCCAUCCCAUAUCGGAUCCCAUCCAUCCCAUUUGGGGUCCCACCCGUCCCACAUUUGGGGUCCCACCCAUCCCACUUUUGGGGAUCCCAAAUAUCCCAUCCUAUAGUGACCCCAAUGCCCCACUUUUGGGGUCCCACCCAUCCCACAUCUGGGCUCCCACCCAUCCCACGUUUGGGGUCCAUCCCGCCCCAUCCCAUAAUGACCCCAAUACCCCAUUUACGGGGUCCCAUCCAUCCCACAUUUGGGGUCCCAUCGGUCCCAUUUGGGGUCUAUCCCGCCCCACCCCAUAGUGACCCCAAUGCCCCACAUUUGGGCUCCCAUCCAUCCCAUAUCGGAUCCCAUCGGUCCCAUUUGGGGUCCCAUCCAUCCCACAUUUGGGGUCCUUCCUGUCCCAUCCUAUAGUGACCUCAUUGUCCCACUUUUGGGCUCCCACCCAUCCCACGUUUGGGGUCCCAUCGAUCCCACAUUUGGGGUCCCACCCAUCCCACUUUUGGGGUCCCACCCAUCCCACAUCUGGGCUCCCACCCAUCCCACGUUUGGGUUCCAUCCCGCCCCACCCCACAAUGACCCCAAU
rnacentral:lncRNA from 1 species